rnacentral:rRNA from 1 species
CUACGGGACGCAGCAGUGAGGAAUAUUGGUCCAUGGUCGGGAGACUGAACCAGCCAAGCCGCGUGAGGGAUGAAGGUACAGAGUAUCGUAAACCUCUUUUGUCAGGGAACAAAGGCGGGGACGUGUCCCCGGAUGAGUGUACCUGAAGAAAAAGCAUCGGCUAACUCCGUGCCAGCAGCCGCGGUAAUACGGAGGAUGCGAGCGUUAUCCGGAUUUAUUGGGUUUAAAGGGUGCGCAGGCGGUCUGUUAAGUCAGCGGUCAAAGCCCGGGGCUCAACCCCGGCCCGCCGUUGAAACUGGCAGUCC